rnacentral:rRNA from 1 species
GAUGAACGCUGGCGGCGUGCCUAAUACAUGCAAGUCGAGCGAACGGACGAGAAGCUUGCUUCUCUGAUGUUAGCGGCGGACGGGUGAGUAACACGUGGAUAACCUACCUAUAAGACUGGGAUAACUUCGGGAAACCGUAGCUAAUACCGGAUAAUAUUUUGAACCGCAUGGUUCAAAAGUGAAAGACGGUCUUGCUGUCACUUAUAGAUGGAUCCGCGCUGCAUUAGCUAGUUGGUAAGGUAACGGCUUACCAAGGCAACGAUGCAUAGCCGACCUGAGAGGGUAACCGGCCCCACGGAAACGGGGACCCGGCCCAGACCCCUCGGGGAGGAGGCGGUAGGGAAUCUUCCGCAAGGGGCAAAAGCCUGACGGAGCAACCCCGCGUGAGUGAUGAAGGUUUUGGGUUCGUAAAACUUUUUUAUUGGGGAAAAACAUUUUUGAAAGUAACUGUGCACAUCUUGACGGUCCAAAAUCAAAAACCCCCGGCUAACUCCG